rnacentral:rRNA from 1 species
UACGGAGGGGGCUAGCGUUGUUCGGAAUUACUGGGCGUAAAGCGCACGUAGGCGGCUUUGUAAGUUAGAGGUGAAAGCCCGGGGCUCAACUCCGGAACUGCCUUUAAGACUGCAUCGCUUGAAUCAUGGAGAGGUUAGUGGAAUUCCGAGUGUAGAGGUGAAAUUCGUAGAUAUUCGGAAGAAACACCAGUGGCGAAGGCGACUAACUGGACAUGUAUUGACGCUGAGGUGCGAAAGCGUGGGGAGCAAACAGG